GUUGACUUGAAUUGCUUUUGUUCUGAACCUGGGGACAGGUCUGCCGGGCUCCCGUGUCCCACUGCUCCAGGGCUGCCCUCGGCCUGCUGGCUGGCGGCCGGAUCUGCUUCCCCCGGCAAGGCUGUUGGCUCUCUGUGCACACUCUGAGUGGCAGGCCUCUGUAAACUGAGCUCAACACUUGUGGGGUCCUUCUUCAACUCUAUGGGGGGCCCGUCCCCUCUGGCUACUCCAUCAAAUUUCAGAGAUCUGCUUGGCGAUUGAGUAAAUAUUACUGUUGUACACUCUUUAUCCUUCUCUUCAACUCCGUUGAAAUUCUCUCCAUUCAUGCUGACUUUUCCAUCUACCUUAAAGUUCUUUAAAACUUC
rnacentral:lncRNA from 1 species